rnacentral:tRNA from 1 species
GCCAUUGUGGUGUAGUGGUUUGAGUGUUAGACUACAACUCUGGAGUCCAGGGUUCGAAUCUCAGCUCAGGCC